GACGAACGCUGGCGGCGUGCUUAACACAUGCAAGUCGAACGGAAAGGCCCUGCUUUUGUGGGGUGCUCGAGUGGCGAACGGGUGAGUAACACGUGAGUAACCUGCCCUUGACUUUGGGAUAACUUCAGGAAACUGGGGCUAAUACCGGAUAGGAGCUCCUGCUGCAUGGUGGGGGUUGGAAAGUUUCGGCGGUUGGGGAUGGACUCGCGGCUUAUCAGCUUGUUGGUGGGGUAGUGGCUUACCAAGGUUUUGACGGGUAGCCGGCCUGAGAGGGUGACCGGCCAGUUGGGGAUGGGGUACGGGCCAGACUCCCACGGGGGGCAGCCGGGGGGGAUUUGGCAAAAUGGGGGGGAGCCUGAAGCAACAACGCGGGGGGGGGGAAGGCCGGCUUGGGGUUGGAAACCGCUUUCCCCUGUGACGAAGCGGGGGUGACGGUAAAGGGUAAAAAAACAACGGCUAAACAC
rnacentral:rRNA from 1 species